AGAAAAGAAAAGAAAUGGGAACAAGCAUGGCAUAUCCUGGAAAGCCCUAGCUCCCACUCGUCCUCUAAGUGUCAGGAGCACAGGAGAGACAGACAAGGACCUUUGGUGGGUGGAAGCUUUUCCAGUUUGAAAAUGCAAGAGAAAACAGGCCAUUGCCUACCUGGACUUGAAUGCAUGCAUUGGGGACUCUGAAGAUAUGUGCAUGUAUCUGAAUGGCUUUUGAUUUGGACAUAGAUUCUUCAAAGAAGACAGCCAGAAGUUGAGAGGAAAGGGGAGAUAAAGAGGAUAAAGAGGAAGAUAAACAGAGAGACACCUGCAUCCCUGCAUUCACCACUCAUGAAGCUUUUCCUCUACAGAGGAAAGGAAAAACGAAGGAAAGAGAAAGAAAGACACUUGCAGCACUGCUUCACUGCUCAUGAAGUUUCACCACCAACCUUACCACAGAUGGAGACUGGGGAUUUGUACCCAGGUCCUCACACAUAAUAACAUGUAUGCUCUCUCUAAACAACCCAUUUUGGAUGGAGCUUGAAGAUACCAUGUUAAGUGAGAUAAAUCAAAAACAAGAGGAUGAAUAUAGGAUGAUCACACUCAUAGACAGAAGCUGCAAAACAAGAUCAGAGGAGAAAACACUAAGUAGAACACUGACUGGAGUUAGU